CAACGUCAGAGGUUGCACACUGCACUUAAUUCUGGAAAGAUCUGAAGAUCUGAUAAACCAGAAACAUUAUUCAAAUGAGAAUGGAUAUUUCUUUAAAUUCUGAAAAGGGGCCAAAGUUGAAAAAAGUCUACCAACCAGGCAGGGUCAACACUGAGCAUGGGUCUUGGCAGAACAAACAGCAAUGUCAAAGCAGUAUCCUUUUUAUUCUCUCAAUGAACUUGAGUUAUCCACAAACUCCACUGAAUUUAAUUUUUGCGAACAGCGUUUUUAUUCUUGGGGAUCCUGGGAUCAUGGAACAACUAUUACACUUAUACCCACAUAUGCAUAGAACUUUGUUCAGGAAAAUGAAAAACAAACAUGUUGGCAUUUUGGUAUUGUGGUGAGAUCAGAGUUUAAUGAAGCUAAUCGGCACAACUUUGUUUUUGAUUCAGAAUCCAGUGAGACUCAUCUCAAUGAGACUCAACGGGACUGUGGUGUUUGUUGGAGUCUGCUGUAUUCUCUGUGUCCAGCUUCUGCUGUUCUCUCCUCUCUCCUCUCCUCUCUUCUGGUUUAUCACCUCUGUCAGAAAAAAGCUAAAGAACCUCCAGCUGAUCAGCAAAGACCUCACACAAGACUGAAUCAGGAUGAAGAUGUGUGUUAUGCUGCACUGGAAAUCC